UACGGAGGGUGCAAGCGUUGCUCGGAAUUAUUGGGCGUAAAGGGUAGGUAGGUGGUCUCAUUUGUCUGGGGUGAAAGCCUUGAGCUUAACUCAAGAAGUGCCCCAGAAACGGUGAGACUAGAGUCCUGGAGAGGGUCGUGGAAUUCCCGGUGUAGCGGUGAAAUGCGUAGAGAUCGGGAGGAACACCAGAGGCGAAAGCGGCGGCCUGGACAGGAACUGACACUCAACUACGAAAGCGUGGGGAGCAAACAGG
rnacentral:rRNA from 1 species